rnacentral:rRNA from 1 species
GGGUUGUGAGGUUAAGCGACUAAGCGUACACGGUGGAUGCCCUGGCAGUCAGAGGCGAUGAAGGACGUGCUAAUCUGCGAAAAGCGUCGGUAAGGUGAUAUGAACCGUUAUAGCCGGCGAUGUCCGAAUGGGGAAACCCAGUGUGAUUCGUCACACUAUCGUUAACUGAAUACAUAGGUUAACGAGGCGAACCGGGGGAACUGAAACAUCUAAGUACCCCGAGGAAAAGAAAUCAACCGAGAUUCCCCCAGUAGCGGCGAGCGAACGGGGAGCAGCCCAGAGUCUGAAUCAGCUUGUGUGUUAGUGGAACGGUCUGGAAAGUCCGACGGUACAGGGUGAUAGUCCCGUACACCAAAAUGCACAGGUUGUGAACUCGAAGAGUAGGGCGGGACACGUGGUAUCCUGUCUGAAUAUGGGGGGACCAUCCUCCAAGGCUAAAUACUCCUGACUGACCGAUAGUGAACCAGUACCGUGAGGGAAAGGCGAAAAGAACCCCGGCGAGGGGAGUGAAAAAGAACCUGAAACCGUGUACGUACAAGCAGUGGGAGCACCUUCGGGUGUGACUGCGUACCUUUUGUAUAAUGGGUCAGCGACUUAUAUUCUGUAGCAAGGUUAACCGUAUAGGGGAGCCGCAGGGAAACCGAGUCUUAACUGGGCGUUAAGUUGCAGGGUAUAGACCCGAAACCCGGUGAUCUAGCCAUGGGCAGGUUGAAGGUUGGGUAACACUAACUGGAGGACCGAACCGACUAAUGUUGAAAAAUUAGCGGAUGACUUGUGGCUGGGGGUGAAAGGCCAAUCAAACCGGGAGAUAGCUGGUUCUCCCCGAAAGCUAUUUAGGUAGCGCCUCGUGAAUUCAUCUUCGGGGGUAGAGCACUGUUUCGGCUAGGGGGUCAUCCCGACUUACCAACCCGAUGCAAACUACGAAUACCGAAGAAUGUUAUCACGGGAGACACACGGCGGGUGCUAACGUCCGUCGUGAAGAGGGAAACAACCCAGACCGCCAGCUAAGGUCCCAAAGUCACAGUUAAGUGGGAAACGAUGUGGGAAGGCACAGACAGCCAGGAUGUUGGCUUAGAAGCAGCCAUCAUUUAAAGAAAGCGUAAUAGCUCACUGGUCGAGUCGGCCUGCGCGGAAGAUGUAACGGGGCUAAACUGUGCACCGAAGCUGCGGCAGCGACACUAUGUGUUGUUGGGUAGGGGAGCGUUCUGUAAGCCUGCGAAGGUGGCCUGUGAGGGUUGCUGGAGGUAUCAGAAGUGCGAAUGCUGACAUAAGUAACGAUAAUGCGGGUGAAAAGCCCGCACGCCGGAAGACCAAGGGUUCCUGUCCAACGUUAAUCGGGGCAGGGUGAGUCGACCCCUAAGGCGAGGCCGAAAGGCGUAGUCGAUGGGAAACAGGUUAAUAUUCCUGUACUUGGUGUUACUGCGAAGGGGGGACGGAGAAGGCUAUGUUAGCCGGGCGACGGUUGUCCCGGUUUAAGCAUGUAGGCGGAGGUUCCAGGUAAAUCCGGUACCUUUUUAACGCUGAGGUGUGAUGACGAGGCACUACGGUGCUGAAGUAACAAAUGCCCUGCUUCCAGGAAAAGCCUCUAAGCAUCAGGUAACAUUAAAUCGUACCCCAAACCGACACAGGUGGUCAGGUAGAGAAUACCAAGGCGCUUGAGAGAACUCGGGUGAAGGAACUAGGCAAAAUGGUGCCGUAACUUCGGGAGAAGGCACGCUGAUAUGUAGGUGAAGCCCCUGCGGGUGGAGCUGAAAUCAGUCGAAGAUACCAGCUGGCUGCAACUGUUUAUUAAAAACACAGCACUGUGCAAACACGAAAGUGGACGUAUACGGUGUGACGCCUGCCCGGUGCCGGAAGGUUAAUUGAUGGGGUUAUCCGUAAGGAGAAGCUCUUGAUCGAAGCCCCGGUAAACGGCGGCCGUAACUAUAACGGUCCUAAGGUAGCGAAAUUCCUUGUCGGGUAAGUUCCGACCUGCACGAAUGGCGUAAUGAUGGCCAGGCUGUCUCCACCCGAGACUCAGUGAAAUUGAACUCGCUGUGAAGAUGCAGUGUACCCGCGGCAAGACGGAAAGACCCCGUGAACCUUUACUAUAGCUUGACACUGAACAUUGAGCCUUGAUGUGUAGGAUAGGUGGGAGGCUUUGAAGCGUGGACGCCAGUCUGCGUGGAGCCAACCUUGAAAUACCACCCUUUAAUGUUUGAUGUUCUAACGUUGGCCCCUUAUCGGGGUUGCGGACAGUGUCUGGUGGGUAGUUUGACUGGGGCGGUCUCCUCCCAAAGAGUAACGGAGGAGCACGAAGGUUAGCUAAUCCUGGUCGGACAUCAGGAGGUUAGUGCAAUGGCAUAAGCUAGCUUGACUGCGAGCGUGACGGCGCGAGCAGGUGCGAAAGCAGGUCAUAGUGAUCCGGUGGUUCUGAAUGGAAGGGCCAUCGCUCAACGGAUAAAAGGUACUCCGGGGAUAACAGGCUGAUACCGCCCAAGAGUUCAUAUCGACGGCGGUGUUUGGCACCUCGAUGUCGGCUCAUCACAUCCUGGGGCUGAAGUAGGUCCCAAGGGUAUGGCUGUUCGCCAUUUAAAGUGGUACGCGAGCUGGGUUUAGAACGUCGUGAGACAGUUCGGUCCCUAUCUGCCGUGGGCGCUGGAGAAUUGAGGGGGGCUGCUCCUAGUACGAGAGGACCGGAGUGGACGCAUCACUGGUGUUCGGGUUGUCAUGCCAAUGGCAUUGCCCGGUAGCUAAAUGCGGAAGAGAUAAGUGCUGAAAGCAUCUAAGCACGAAACUUGCCCCGAGAUGAGUUCUCCCUGAGACUUUAAGUCUCCUGAAGGAACGUUAAAGACGAUGACGUUGAUAGGUCGGGUGUGUAAGCGUAGCGAUACGUUGAGCUAACCGAUACUAAUGAACCGUGAGGCUUAACCUUACAACGCCGAAG